rnacentral:rRNA from 1 species
UACGUAGGGGGCUAGCGUUGUCCGGAAUCAUUGGGCGUAAAGAGCGCGUAGGCGGCUGGAAUAGUCCGGUGUGAAAUCCACAGGCUUAACCUGUGAAUGCCGCUGGAAACUGUCUGGCUAGAGUCCGGAAGGGGGCGAGUGGAAAUUCCUGGUGUAGCGGUGAAAUGCGCAGAUAUCAGGAGGAACACCAAUGGCGAAGGCAGCUCGCUGGGACGGUACUGACGCUGAGGCGCGAAGGCCAGGGGGAGCAAAACGGGG